rnacentral:rRNA from 1 species
GAUGAACGCUGGCGGCGUGCUCAACACAUGCAAGUCGAACGGUGAAGCAGGAGCUUGCUCUUGUGGAUCAGUGGCGAACGGGUGAGUAACACGUGAGCAACCUGCCCCUGACUCUGGGAUAAGCGCUGGAAACGGCGUCUAAUACUGGAUAUGUGAUGUGACCGCAUGGUCUGCAUCUGGAAAGAAUUUCGGUUGGGGAUGGGCUCGCGGCCUAUCAGCUUGUUGGUGAGGUAAUGGCUCACCAAGGCGUCGACGGGUAGCCGGCCUGAGAGGGGGACCGGCCACACUGGGACUGCGACACGGCCCAGCCUCCUACGGGAGGCAGCAGUGGGGAAUAUUGCACAAUGGGCGGAAGCCUGAUGCAGCAACGCCGCGUGAGGGAUGACGGCCUUCGGGUUGUAAACCUCUUUUAGCAGGGAAGAAGCGAGAGUGACGGUACCUGCGGAAAAAGCACCGGCUAACCACGUGCCAGCCGCCGCCGUAA